rnacentral:rRNA from 1 species
GUCGAACGGAAAGGCCCUUCGGGGUACUCGAGUGGCGAACGGGUGAGUAACACGUGGGUGAUCUGCCCUGCACUUUGGGAUAAGCCUGGGAAACUGGGUCUAAUACCGAAUAUGAUCAUCGGCUUCAUGGUCGGUGGUGGAAAGCUUUUGCGGUGUGGGAUGGGCCCGCGGCCUAUCAGCUUGUUGGUGGGGUAAUGGCCUACCAAGGCGACGACGGGUAGCCGGCCUGAGAGGGUGACCGGCCACACUGGGACUGAGAUACGGCCCAGACUCCUACGGGAGGCAGCAGUGGGGAAUAUUGCACAAUGGGCGCAAGCCUGAUGCAGCGACGCCGCGUGAGGGAUGACGGCCUUCGGGUUGUAAACCUCUUUCAGCACAGACGAAGCGCAAGUGACGGUAUGUGCAGAAGAAGGACCGGCCAACUACGUGCCAGCAGCCGCGGUAAUACGUAGGGUCCGAGCGUUGUCCGGAAUUACUGGGCGUAAAGAGCUCGUAGGUGGUUUGUCGCGUUGUUCGUGAAAACUCACAGCUUAACUGUGGGCGUGCGGGCGAUACGGGCAGACUAGAGUACUGCAGGGGAGACUGGAAUUCCUGGUGUAGCGGUGGAAUGCGCAGAUAUCAGGAGGAACACCGGUGGCGAAGGCGGGUCUCUGGGCAGUAACUGACGCUGAGGAGCGAAAGCGUGGGGAGCGAACAGGAUUAGAUACCCUGGUAGUCCACGCCGUAAACGGUGGGUACUAGGUGUGGGUUUCCUUCCUUGGGAUCCGUGCCGUAGCUAACGCAUUAAGUACCCCGCCUGGGGAGUACGGCCGCAAGGCUAAAACUCAAAGGAAUUGACGGGGGCCCGCACAAGCGGCGGAGCAUGUGGAUUAAUUCGAUGCAACGCGAAGAACCUUACCUGGGUUUGACAUGCACAGGACGCUGGUAGAGAUAUCAGUUCCCUUGUGGCCUGUGUGCAGGUG